AAGUCGUAACAAGGUUUCCGUAGGUGAACCUGCGGAAGGAUCAUUAUCGAGUUUUGAACGGGUUGUAGCUGGCCUCAUACGGGGCAUGUGCACGCCUGGCUCAUCCACUCUUCAACCUCUGUGCACUUAUUGUAGAUCGGUGACAAGGUCGAGUUCUUUCACGAGUUCUUGACUGGAAAAACCUUUCUACGUUUUUACCACAAACGCUUCAGUUAUAGAAUGUUUAUCUGCGUAUAACGCAUCUUUAUACAACUUUCAGCAACGGAUCUCUUGGCUCUC
rnacentral:misc_RNA from 1 species